rnacentral:rRNA from 1 species
GGAAUAUUGGGCAAUGGGUGAGAGCCUGACCCAGCCAUGCCGCGUGCAGGAAGAAGGCGUUCUGCGUUGUAAACUGCUUUUGAUCGGGCAGAAAGGGUUCCUGCGGGACCCGUUGACUGUACCGAUAGAAUAAGCACCGUCUAACCCCGUGCCAGCAGCCGCGGUAAUACGGAGGGUGCAAGCGUUGUCCGGAUUUAUUGGGUUUAAAGGGUGCGUAGGCGGAUUGAUAAGUCAGUGGUGAAAGGCAGCGGCUCAACCGUUGAGUUGCCAUUGAUACUGUGAGUCUUGAGUGCACUAGAGGUAAGUGGAAUUUAUGGUGUAGCGGUGAAAUGCAUAGAUACCAUAAAGAACACCAAUAGCGAAGGCAGCUUACUAGAGUGUAACUGACGCUGAGGCACGAAAGCGUGGGGAGCGAAC